ensembl:lncRNA
GGCCGUUGAGACGCGCCAGCGUGGGCGGAGAACCCAGCGAACGGGUGGAAGGCGCUGAGGGAGGCGGUGAGCGGAGCGGCGACGACAACAAUGGCCUUUGUUCCGCAGGCGGGGCGGCCCCUUUAAGAGCGCAGACCUGGAAGUGGCACGGGAAGUCCGGGCAGGGCGCAGCGGUGGCUCUGCGCGGCCUUACAGUAGGCGGCGGAGGCGACAAGGAGCCCCGAGUAGGAGUGCGGCAGUGGGGGGGUGGCGGUGUUCGCAGCACCACACACACAUACACACUAUGGAGAAGGGAGCUCCGCGCUUCGCAAAGCGUGGCACGGCGCCCAGUGGUCAGCACCGCGCCUUCUCCCAGCCUGGCGUGCUGGGGACGCGGUGUCUGCCAACGCGUGUGGCGCGGCCGCAGUGUGGAAGCGCCGGGCUCUGUUUUGCCGAUAGGGUCCCACACGUCGGGGUCCGGCGGGGCUUCCCGCAGCACAUCGGGCGGACACGUCGGGUCACGGGGCAGUGCGUGCGUGUUGCAGAGCGGCACGGCGCUAACGCAGGCGGGCGCGUACAGUUGGCCGAGCAAAGUGCUGCGCGCAGAAAGUGAAAUAGAGCUGUGCCGCGUUUGUUGGUAACUUCCACGGGAAUGUCGGGUGUGAUCUGCGGCCGAACGUCAGAGACGGGUAGCGUGGGGUGGGUUGCGUUUCCUUGUUUUGGAGACGGGUCACUUUGGAAUAGGAGGCUUGUGCUCGCAGCGGGUGGGCACCGAGAGCGCUGCUGGUUUUGGGAACGGUAAAACCUCUCGUUUCCUCGCCUUGGUGCAGUGUGUUACAGAGUUGUCUGGAGAGGGAUACAUCCACGGCAGGAGGGAGCCAAGGCCGUGUACCGGAGUCUUGAAAUUACUGACUGCUGACUUUUCAUUACCCUUAAAAUAGACCCUUUACAUUACAUACAGUGUGUGGGGGGCCGCGCAUGAGGUCAUACCCCCCCCCAACCCCCCUUGUUCCUGCUGUUUGCAUGGAUAUCUCCUGCUCUUCAGUCCCAGCCUUCAUCACAAGAUGUGGUGAGAAAGGCACCUGCUCUCCCAGGACGGGAGGCUGCUAGGAUCUGCCGGUAGGCAUCCUGGGGCAGGCUGCCACAGGCCAUUUUGCAAACCAGGACCAAAUAACUCCCUGUGCUCUCUUGCAGCUUGUUACAGCUUCGUUUUAAGCAGUCCGGGAAACUAAAGAAGAAAGAGGAAGGGAAAAUAAUAUUCCCUCUCAGCUUAGCAACUGAUGACUUUUUAAUAUAGGGCCAACUCAAUAACAAAGAAAGCUUAUCUACUCUGCUUCACUCUACGGGACUGCGCUGCUGGAGAAGAGUCAUUGCAUCUUGAUUGCUUUUAUGGUGCAGCUCUCUCUGCUAUUAUUCUCUCUGCUUCAUCAUUGUAUGACAUUUUCCCUUUCUUCCUGCAUGAUUACCUCUGGCUUUCCCCAAGUGCUGAGUCAUUAUUCUGUACCUCACAGCAAAGGAGCUUUGUGAUUCCUUAUGUUAAAUGUAGAAAUAAGGGAUGGAAAGAACCUGUUAGGUCAUCCACUCCACAUCCCCACUGGUAGAGUAUUUACAGCACACAAUCGAUCCAUCCAUGUUAGUUUUAAGUUACUUAGGUAAUGGGGCUUCCACCUCUUCCUUUUGGAGUCUGUUUCGUGGACUAACAGCUCCCAUGGUUGGGAAAAUAUUUGGUCCAUAUCUUCAUUUGUCCAGUUUCACCCAAUUACUCCUGGUUAUAACUGUGUAUUUUACUACCCUUUUUUUUUUUUUUUUUCUCUUUUAUGGCUCUCUGUGCUUUUCACCCAGGUAUCACUUCUUUUCCUAGCCAUUGACAUUUGUUCUUUUUAUCUCCUUGUUUUAUCAGUUCCUGCAGCCACUUUGUCACUGUCAUUGGUCUUUAAUUCUCACCCAUCUCCCCGGCUGCUUUUAGAAACAGGUAACUUCCCCAGUCUUUUGUGAAUGUAGCCAAUGCUCCAUAAUGGUUUAGUCUGUCUGCAAGUUGCCUCACCAGCUUCAAAAUUUGUCAUCUGCCACCACCAUGAAUCAGUGUUAUGGACCCUCUUACUCUUCAAUGUUUCCUCUUGCAAUAUAAUUGUAAUCUCAUAUUCUCCAUGACAGCUAUGGUGAAGCUGUGUGUCCUGGGUCUAAUUUUUUUCUACCCGUGGUUUUGAUAUUCGCACGUCCACUCCUUCUGGGUUCUCUGGUAUCUAUGCAAAUCUUCAUCCAUUUUGGUUCCUCUCAUUAGUUGCAAUCUCCUGAGACCUCAGACUACAUGGUCCUGGCCACUGUGCUGUACAGGAGACAGGAAAUGCUACCACGUCUCCUGGUGAGCAGCAUGGUCUGUGGCUGCACACAGUUGCUCUGGAGAUGUGAGGAGAAAGCUUCUCCAGCUGUCAGCUUCCCUUUAGAUCUGUUCUGUAUGGACUUUGUCCAGAGCAGAAUGGAAGUGCAUUAGCUAAUAUUAAACCUGGAAUGGGCUCCCAGCUAGUUUCUUUCCCUCUCACCAAGAGUCUACUGCUCAGCUUAUCUACAGGGAGGAUCCUGUUGUUCAAAGCAAGAUUUAUGAUCUCACAGAGCCACCUUUCAUAGAUGCGCAUGCCAGAAAUCCCCAAACUUUUUGCUCAAAUAGGUGGUAGCAAUACUAAUUCAGGCAAAAAGUAAUCCUAUUCUAGCCUGUAAAGUGACACCAAGUUCCUGCCUUUAUUAGCGCUGUCAUGGGAGAGGGAGACUGUGGUGUUGGAAGGCAAGAGCAGGAUGAGAAAACUGUGAACUGAAGAAUGAUCUUUUUGCUUGUAGUGGCCUGAAAAUCUGGCAUUGGGUGCUCAUACUUUCUAGUCUAGAGUUUGUCCCUGAAAACAGAGCAAGCCCCUGCUUGUAGUAGGUGACUCCCUAUUUAAAGGCGCUGAGGCUCACUCCCCUCUGCUUGCCUGACAUGGCCAUCUGGAGAGGCCUCCUGCUUCCCAGGAGCCAAGAUCUGAGACAUUGCCAAGAGAGUGCCACAGCUUGUCAAGAGCAUGGAACUACUAUUUGCUACUGCUCUUUCAUGUGGGCAUGAAUGACAAUGGAAACUGGAACAUAGGCAGAAUCAAAAAGACUAUAAAGCCCUGGGAGCACAAGUGAAGAACACUAGUGCCCAAGUUAACUUCUCUUCAGUUUUACCAGUUGGAGGAGAGAGGGCAGCCAAAAAUAGAGUUAUAAUGCAUGUCAACUCCUGGAUAUGUGGUUGGCACAUGAAGUUUUUGUUUCUUAUGACAGUGGGACUUUCUAUGAAGAUUAUAACCUUUUAGGGAAAGGGUGGGAUCCACCUGCCUAGAAGAGGCAGGACCACCUUUGGCAGCAGGCUGGUUAACAUAGUAAGGUGAGCUUUAAACUGAAUGACUUUGGGAGUGCGAUCAAAAAUGCAAUUCUCAUGGCACACUCACAACUGGAGAAUGAGCCAAGCCAAUCAGAACUGUGAUAAAUGUUCCUUAGCUACCUCCCAUGACAUGAGCCUGAAGAACAGUCACUUCAACAGUGUGUAUAGCUAUGGGGAAUACUCCUGCAUUCCUCUAGGGAUACCUGCAUUCUCAGCUCCCUUUUCUUCUCUGAAGUGACUAUGUACCAAUGUGCACAGUGUGGCAAAUAAGUAGGAAAAAGUAGAGAGCAGUUGCAGGACCUUGAUUUCGUUGUGAUCACAGAGACAUGGUAGGACAGCUUGCAUGACUGCAAUGCUAUCCUAGAUGGCUAUGUACUUUUUAAGAAAGACAAGGCCAGUAAGACAAGAUAGUGGAACUGCUCUUUGUGUGAGAGAACAACUGGAAGGUAUUGAGCUCUGCCAGGAGAUGAAUGAUGAACCACUGGAAAGCUUAUGGGUGAGGAUUAAGGGGCAGGCUAAUAUGACACUGCUGUGGAUGUUUAGUUCAGACCACCUGAUCAAGAGGAGGAAGUUGGUGAGGCCUUCUGCAGACAGAUGAAAGUAGCAAUUUGCAAUCCUGGGCUUCAGGAGAGCCAACUAUGACCUCUUCAAGGACCUAUGUGGAGGUAUGCCAUGGGUUAGAGCACUGGAAGGUAAGGGAGCCCAAGAGAGUUGGUUGACAUUCUAGCACCAGUUCUUCCAAGCUGAAGAUCAGUGCAUCCCUAAGAAUUAGAAAUCAAGCAAAGGUGGCAGGGACACAUAUGGAUGAGCAAGGAGCUCAUGGAAAAAUUCCAGUGGAAGCAGAUAGUCUAUGGAAUGUAGAAGGGGGGUCUGGUCAGUUGGAAGGAGUGUAGGAACAUUGUCAGGGCAUGCAGGAUUGCAGUGAGGAAGGCUAAAGCCCACUUGGUAUUAAAUCUGGUGAGGGAGAUCAAGGACAAAAAGAAAGACUUCUUUAAGUAUGUCAGUAGCAAAAGGAAGACUAGGGAAAAUGUGGGUCCCCUGCUGAAUGAGACAGAUGCCGCACUAACAGAGGACACUGAACAGGCAGUUACUGAAUGCUUUUUUUGCUGCAGUCUUUACUGCUAAUGCUGCCCCUCAGAAAUCCCAGACCAUGGAGGUAAUAGAGAGAGAGUCUGGGGAAAGGAAAACUUCCCCUGUUUGUGGAGGUUCUGGUCAGAAAUCAUCUAGGCAGACUCAACACACACAAAUCUAUGGGCCCUGAUAGAAUGCACCCAUGAGUGCUGCGGGAGCUGGAGAAGUGAUUGGCAAACCACUCUCGAUUAUCAUCUUUGAAAAGUCAUGGAGAAUGAGAGAGGUGCCUGAGGACUGGAGGAAAGCCGGUGUAACUGCAGUCUUCAAAAAGGGCAAGAAAGAGGAGCUGGGAAAAUACUGGCCAGUCAGACUCACCUCCAUGCCUGGGAAGGUGAUGGAACAGGUUGUUCUGAAUGUCAUUUCCAAACAAGUGGAAGAAAAGAAGGUUAUCAGGAGUAGUCAACAUGGAUUCUCCAAGGGGAAAUCAUGCUUGACCAAUCUGAUAGUCUGUGAUGUCAUGACCAGCUGGGUAGAUCAGGGGAGAGCAGUGGACGUUGUCUACUUUGGCUUCAGCAAGGCUUUUGACAAUCUUUCAUAACAUCCUUGUAGGUAAGAUUAGAAAGUGUGGGAUAGACAAAUGGACUGUGAGAUGGAUUGAAAAUUCUCUGACUGGCAGAGCUCAGUGGGUUGUGGUCAGUGGCAUGUGAAGUCUAGUUUGAGGCCUGUGGCUAGCAAUGUUAUCCAGGAAUUGAUACUGGAUCCAAACUUGUUUAACAUUUUAGUCAAUGACCUGGGUGAAGGGAUAGAGUUGCACUCAGCAAGUUUGCUGAUGAUAUGAAGCUGAGAGGAGUGGUUGACAUACCAGAAGGCCGUGCUGCCAUUCAGCGAGACCUGGACAGGCUAGAGAAUUAGGCGGAGAGAAACCUAAUGAGGUUCCACAAGGCAAGUGUAGAGUCCUACAUCUAAGGAGGAAUAACCACACUCAUCUGGUACGGUUUAGGGGCUGAUCUGCUGGAAGGGAGCUCUGCAGUGAAGGACCUGGGUGUCCUGGUGGACAACAGGUUGACCAUAAGCCAGCAAUAUGCCCUUGUGGCUAAGAAUGACAAUGAUAUCCUGGAGUGCCUAAAAUAGAACAUGGCCAGCAGGUCAAGGGAGGUGACCAUCCCCUUCUACUCUGCCUUGAUGAGGCUACAUCUGGAGUACUGUCUCCAAUUCUGGGUUCCUUAGUUCAAGAAAAAUGAGAAGUUUCUAGAGAGAGUCCAUCAGAGGCCCACAAAGAUUAUUAGGGGCCUGGAACAUCUCCUGUAUGAGGAACAGCUGAGAGACCUGGGACUGGUUCAACCUGGAGAAGACUGUGGGGGGAUCUUACCAACAUUUACAAAUAUCUAAUGGGAGGGAGUCAAGUGGAUGAGGUCAGGCUCUUUUCAGUGCUGUACAGUGACAGGCCAAGAGGCAAUGGACACAAGCCAGAACAUAAAAGUUCCAUACACGCGAGGAAAAACUUAACUUUGAGGGUGACUGAGCACUGAACAAGCCGCCCUGAGAAGUUGUGGAGUCUCCUCUGGAGAUAUUCAAAACCUGCCUGGGUGCUUUCCUCUGUAACUUGCUCUAGGGAGCCAGCUUUAGCAAGAGUGUUGGAAUAGAUGAUCUCCAGAGGUCCCUUCUGACCCCUAUGGCUCUGUGAUUCUUUGAAAAGGAGGCUAACUAACCUUUCAAUGAGACUUUUAAUUUUCAGUGUGCAGCGAUGUGUCUGCACGCCAGCUGCCACCAGUUCUCCCUCUGUCACCAGCUCUCUUUCUGCCGUCACUUAUUCAACUGCUGGGCUAAUUUUCUCAGAUCUCCCUGAAGGAUGGAACCUGUUUAUCAAAGGAAUUUACACAUUUCAGAAGCUACAUCCAGGGUUUUCAUUUGUCCCUUUGUGUACUGUUUUUCCAGUUUCAGCAGUGUAGAGCAGUAGUUCAGACACAUGCAACAAUCACGGAUUUCACCUCACUUCUGAAUAAAGUUUGUGUUCAUGCUUUUUAUAUCUACGGAGGCAGUCACUAGUUCUAAGUGCCCAUAGUUAUCAUUAGCUCAUUCUACUGUUUCUCUGCUGAUAGCUUUUCUUUGCUUUUAUCUUUGCCCAGCAAAACUUAACUCAUUCAUUUAUUUAGUUCUUGCUUCUUUCUUCUUUUUGUGAUACUAGUUUCAUUUUCACCUUCUAAAGUUCAAGCAGACACAAAUAGUCACUUGAUGGUUUUUUUUCUCCUUUAAAUUUCCUGGAUGGAAAGAGGUGUACUGUUCCUCCAGUACACACUUUGCUAAGGCACAUCACAUUUGGGUCUCCUUUUGUCCCUUACCUCUGAAGAUCCUGACCCUAUAGCUCAGUCUACUGACAUUACUGUGUAAUCUCAACAGAGGUUACUCUUAGAGAUUCAGGCACAGCAUCAAGUUCUUAAGGAACAAAACACAGUUGGAGAUGGUAGUAAAUUCCAAGAAUGUGAAAGCAAUUAAGACGAACAUCGAUGUUAGAAUGCAGGGGAGGUUUUGAUCUGGAGGAAAAAACAGGAAAUCCAUGCAAGUUGGUACACAGAUGUGCUCUGAUAGGGAUCCCCCAUUGCACGUUUAGCACUAAGAUUCUUUUGUCCUUAGCAAAUUGAUUUCUGAAACUGAAGUGUGUUUUAAUGACCCUGGUAUGCAUCAGUCACAUCACUUUUCGUCAUUUGCAGUAAGAUUAGCUUUCAGUUCAUAAUCCCAGGGAAAUCCUUUUCCCAAGAUUCACUCAGGCUAAUGUUUCCUGUAGUAGAAGUCUCAUGCUUGGCUUUUCAGGAAUACAUAAAUACAUAUAUACAUAGGACAUUUUGAAUUAAUGCCACCUAUUUAUCUCCAUGGAAACUGCAACAGAUACAAAACACAAUAAUGCUAUUCGACAGAACUAGUUCUAAGCUACAAAACACCAUUUUUCAACAGUCACCACCAUUAGCUGAUUUGUGUGGAUGAGCUCAUCAAGAUGUUCCUCAUUUUGCAGUGUGACAGGCAGCUGUGCAUGGAUGUCUAGAACAUCACUUGUCUUUUCACAUCACUGUCAUCACUGCUGAGGUGCACCACUCACCCCCUUACUGUGCUCACAUCCACUGUUUGGUCUCUAUAAAUGCUCAGCAAGCAUUGAUGAAGAUCAGUGGGUGCCAUUUUUUCUGUUUGGAGGAAUCCAGUGACACACCUUUGCUUCAUACACCACUCCCAUGUCAGACACCAUUUUGUCAAACUGCCCCUCUUCUGCCAUCUGUCACACAGCGACAAAAUAUAAUGGAAUAUUGUCAGGAAGGUUUAACCUCUAUUGCCAUCUCACCAACAUCUUCCUCUGGUGUCAUGGACUGACAUAAUAAAAGAGGAGGCAAUACUUUUAGAGCAGCCCUCAUGUAUGUAAUUUGUAUAGAAAUAUAUUUUUAUGUAUUUUAGUAGAAAUAUAAAAUACAUUUUCUUACUUACAUACAUUAACUAUAUUAUGUGUUUUGUGAGAGCUGCUCUGAAAGUAAUGCCUCCUAUUUUAUGAUGUCCCAUGACAUCAGAGGCAGAUAUUGGUGAGACGGCAGUAGAGGUUUAACUUCCCCAACAAUGUUUGGUUACAUUUUGUUGCCAAGUGACAGAUGGCAGCAGAGAGACAGUCUGACAAAAUGAUGUCUGACAUGAAAACAUGUAUGAAGCAAAGGUGUGUCAUCAAAUUCCUUCGUAUGGAAAAAAUUGCACCCAGUGACAUUCAUCAAUACUUGCUGUACAUUUAUGAAGGCCAAACAGUGGAUGUGAGCACAGUGAGGUGGUGAGUGAUGCAUUUCAGCAGCAGCAGCAGUGACAGUGGGUCACCUCUGCUGGUGUAGAUUGUUAUGAGUACAGCACAGAAUCACAGAAUCAUCAAAUCCUUAGAGUUGGAAGGGACCCUUAAAGAUCAUCUUGUCCAACUCCUCUGCAAUGAACAGGGACAUCCGCAGCUAGAUCAGGGCCUGAUCCAGCUUUUCCUUGAAAGUCUCCAGGGACAGGAGAGAGUCUGUCCUCUUCUUUCCUGUAGCUCCCCCCUUUAGAUUUUGGAAGGCCACUAUCAGGUCACUUCCAAGCCUUCUCUUCUCCAGGCUGAACAGCCCCAGCCCUUUCAGUUUGUCCUCAUAGGAGAGGUGUUUCAUCCCUUGGAUCAUUUUUCUGGCCUUCCUCUGGACGUGCUCCAGUACGUGUGUGUCUGUCCUGUACUGAGGACUCCACAUCUGGAUGCAGUGCUCCAAGUGAGGCUUCACCUGCACAGAGUAGAGGGGCAGGAUCACCUCCCUCAGCCUGCUGGCUGUUUUUUUUUAGAUGCAGCCCAGAAUACAAUUGGCUUUCUGGGCUGCAAGAACACACUGCUGACUCAUGUCCAGCUUCCCAUCCACCAGUACCCCCAGGUCCUUUUUGGCAGGGUUGCACUCAAUCCUUUUAUCUCCUAGCUUGUAUUGAUAGCAGGGGCUGCCACAACCCAGGUGCAAGACCUUGCACUUGGAUUUGUUGAACCCCAUGAAGUUCUCCUGGGCCCACUGCUCAAGCGUGUCUAGAUCCCUCAGGAAGGCAUCUUGUCCCUCUGAUGAGACAACUGCACCACCACAUAUUGGUGCCAUCCGCAAACUUGCUGAGGGUACACUCGACCCCACUGAUAUUAAAUAGUAUCGGUCCCAGAACUGACCCAUGGGGGACAUCUCUCAUCAGUGAUCUCCAUCCAGACAUUGAGCCAUUGACCACCGCUCUCUGAACUUGAUCCUGCAGCCUUCAUCCUUUGAACAGUCCUUCAUCCAUUGAACAGUCUACCCAUGUUAUCCAUAUCUUUCCAAUUUGGAGAGAAGGGUGUGGUGGAGUACCAUGUCAAAGGCCUUGCUGAAGUCCAGAUAGAUCACAGAAUCUCAGAAGUUGGAACGGACCUCAAGAGAUCAUUGAGUCCAACCCCUCUGCUGAAGCAGGUACCUUACAAUAGGUCACACAGGUAGGCAUCCAGCCACGUCUUGAAUAUCACCCUAGAAUGGGACUCCACAACCUCUCUGGGCAGUCUGUUCCAGUGCUGUCAACCUUACCAUAAAGUUCUUCCACAUGUUAGUUUGGAACUCUAUGUUCAAGUUUUAGGCCAUUACUCCUUGUCCUAUCACUACACACCAUCAAGAAGAGCCUGGCCUCCAUUUUGCCUCCCACCUCCCUUUAGAUAUUUAUAAACAUUUAUCCAGUAUCCUCUCAGUCUUCUUUUACCCAGGGUGAACAGACCCAGGUUACUCAGCCUUUCCUCAUAGGGGAGAUGCUCCAGACACUUAACCAUCUUUGUGGCCAUCCGUGGGACUCUUUCAAGGAGAUACCUGUCUUUUCUGAACUGAGGAGCCCAGAACCAGACACGGUAGUCUAAAUGUGGCUUCACCACAACAAAGUAGAGGGGGAGAAUCACCUCCCUUGACCUGCUGGCCAUGCUCUUUUUAAUGCAUUCCAGGAUAUCAUUGGCCUUCUUGGACACAAGGGCACACUACUGGCUCCUGAUCAACCUGUUGUCCACCAGGGCCCCCAGAUCCUUCUCUGCAGAGCUCCUCUCCAGCAGGUCAUCCCCUAACAAGUACUGAUGCAUACAAACAACAUCAGUGGCUCUUGCGUCGUCCACUGAUGCAGUUACACCAUCAUAAAAGGCCACUGGGUUGGUCAAGCAGGAUUUGCCCCUGGUGAAGCCAUGCUGGUUCUUCCGUAUCACCUGCCUGUCUUCCCUGCACCUUAGCAUAUCUUCCAGGAGGAUCUGCUCCAUGAUCUUUUCUGACAUAGAGGUGAAACUGACAGGUUUUUUACCCUCCUUAAAAAUGGACAUGAUAUUGCCUUUCUUUCCAGUAAUGAGGGAAUUCCCCUGAUUGCCAUGACUUUUCAAAUAUCAUUGAGAGUGGCUUUGCGACUACAUCAGCUAAUUUCCUCUUGUUCAUCGCUGGUGAAAAAUGCAUAGCUAAUGGUGAUGACUGUGUUGAAGAAGAGUGUUUUGUACCUGAGAAUUUGCUCUAUUAAAUAGUGCAGCUGUGCUCUUUGCAUCAGUUGUAGUUUCCAUUGAUAUAAUUUGGAGGCAUUACUUUCAAAGCAACCUUCAUAGUUGUGGCCCUAGACAAUUCCUCUUCACUCAGUGCGGCCCAGGCAUGCCAAAAAGUUGGACACCCAUUCUCUAAUCUGUGUCAUCAUCACGUGUUGUCACAUACUGGAUUAUUUUGAAUCAUCUGGUAUAUUGCUCCUGCAAAUAAGAGAAACACCUUUCUACUGCUGCGAAAGAAAAUAUUCUGGUAGGUAAGAACGGGAAGAGUUACUGAGGAUUGUACUGAUUUAACUCCAUUUCACUGUUCAUAGGAGUGCAGCUUCUUCUGAGGGACAAAUUUAUGCUUCUGUUUGGAAAGCAGGUGUCAUUGUACAAGUCACAGCUUCAAUACAUGUUGACAGUGCUACUGUUGGAAUGUACUUGGAUGCUGCAUCAACAAGUGGUCAUGACAAAGCUCCUGAGAGCUCCAUUGACACCAACCCAGCAAUAGCUAACCCUAUCAGAUUGGGUUAAAAUGCAUGGGCCCAGGAGAGCCCGUGUGCUGGCUGGGAGCUGGAGAAGGGACAGUAGCUUCUGAGCCACAGUCAGGCUCCUGAACCUGCCUGUCACUGUGGCAUCAGGACAAUAAGGGGAAAUGGCUGAGAGGAACAGAGCAAGACUGUGGGGGAAAAUCAAUAGCAGGGAGCUGUGGAGGAGCUGGGGUAGGUGAAACCUCUCCAUUUGACCUACUUUAGCAGGUGUAGUUGUUUAGAUGGAAUUUAAAUCUCUGAAGAUAUGUGGGGAACUUCCUGACAUCACCCAAGAUGGGCAGGGGCCAGGGCAGGGCUACACAUGUCAAGUAUGUGCUUAACCAUAACCAGGUCCAAACCCUUCAGUGCCAGCAGAGAUUUCCACGUGCGCUGGCUCAUUCUUGAGCAGGCAGAGCUCCAUAGGGGACACAGAAUCACUGGUGAAUGAGGUAAAGCACAAAGGUAUACCAAAAAUAGGAUAUUUGGAACACAGUUCUGCAGCGUGCUAGGUCUUCAGCUACCAAUUUCAGAUAUAAGCUGUACCUGCUUUGUCCUUAUGUUGUCCAGAACCGUGUAACAUCUGUCAAUACUGUUAACCUCAGGAAUUUAAAAUAAUUAGUUGUUAGUUAUUUAUAAUUAGUUACUUGUCUCUCACUCCAACAUUGCAGGAUUUUGAGGGAAAAGAUUGGGAAAAAAGAAAUAAAUUCAAAUGUAUCUGCAUAUUCUGAUCUUGCUUCUGGGUUUUGUUUUGUAAACUACUAUUUGCAAAUUUAUCCCCCAAAUUUUGAAUGCUAUUAGACUUCUUUUCUCUUUCAUUAUAGUCUUUUUUCCAUCUGUCUUUCACUCCCUCUUUCCCUUCCUCCCUCUCUCCUUACCCAGUUCUUUCGUCCCUCCCUGACUCCUUGCCUGCCUGUCUGCCCAUUUCGUAUGUAAUUACAUGAUUCAGACCAGGAGAAUUAAGGAACAGGAAAACAUAUGAUGAAACUGAAGGUAAAAGUAGAAAAGCCAUCAAACUAUGUGCUGUUACUGCAAAACAUUCUAAACAAAAGUAAACAAGAAAUAGAAGCUGAAGGGGCAGAGUUCAACAUUUCUGUCAGGUCAUGCCAAAGUGAUUUACAUUUUAUAGAUACCGUGGCUGGUUUAUCCUUCUCCUCUUCACUUACCUCAGCUGCAGAGGUGAAGCAAACUUUUCUCAAAGCCUAAUCCUCUCUAUUGGUAAUAUUUUCAGAGGCUGGUUCCUCUUCCCCCUCCCUUUUUCUGCAUCAUUUUCUCCACAGGGUGACAGGAUUACAGCUGUCGUGCCCAUUCUGAGUUGUGGUGCGCACUCUGUCAUCCAUGUCAUUCUAACUCUAUAUCUUGCUGGCAGUAAAAGAGUGACACAAAUUGUUUUCCUGCCAGAUUAACAUUGUCUAGUAGAUUUAAUGCUCAUAAUCUAAUGUGAGAGAGAACAUUAUAUGGGCAACAGAAGUCAAUCUGCUUGCAACGAUUGUCCAGCAUUGCUGAAAAUAAAUAAAUGAAUGCAUGAAUGAAUAACACUGCAGUUCUAGCCCUGUGGAAGCAGUGCACCAUUCUGCACUGUUCUGUACCUUCUGAGGCGAUGGCCUAUAGUGACAGUGCUGCCCAGCUGUAUGACCGGUAGGAUGACGUGGAAAUGCAGCAAAGGAGAAGGAGAAGCGAUAAAUAAAUAAAUGAAUAAAUAAAUAAAUAAGAAGGAAAGAAAGAAAAAUGAAAUAAGGGAGAAGGAAAAGGAAACAGGAAAAGCAAAAAAGGAAAAGGAAACUCGAGGUCGAGUGAGAGCAGUGUGUACUCAGCGAACUGCAGAAUGAAACCUUGGCAAAUGAAAAAAAUCAGUGUGAGUACAGCUUGUUGCAUAGAAGUGUGAUUUAUCUGCUUUUAUUUUCAAUAGUUCCAGUGGCAUCAUAAUGUAAGAUUUUAUAACCUAUUAAAUCAUGCCUGACGUUUAUGGUUGUAUUUUAGAGUGGAUACAUUAUAGAUAGGCAGGAGCUGCACAGCAGUUUCUUCUCAGAGGUCUUAUUCCAUUCUCGUGCCCUUUUAUAACUUUAGCUCAGAAACUGCCCAAUGUUAACUGAAGAUAAAGAUUUUGGCCAAGAAUCAAAAAAUAAUCAACUUUUCAAUUACCAUUGAGUCGUUCGGAUCGCCCUGAUAUGAGGUGGCCUUUAUUUAUGUAGUUGUCUUCUAUUUCCAAAAGCAGAUCUGCAUACAAAAGGGUUAACAGCAACAGUCUCUUUGGGCUUCGCAGUAACCUUCAGAGCAAACAGGUUGCCCUUUCACAGGAAAGAGGUGGUAAUCAAUCUAAGUUGCUCACCAUUUUUUUUUUUUUUGUCUGUGUGUAGGGAGUGACAUAAUUAAUACCAGUAACUUGAGUUGACCCCAAUAUUAUGUUGGGAGAUGGCUGAGAAGAGGCAUAGAGGUGGGUGGAUAUGGGUGCCAAGGUCAUGUCCUUAUCUGGCCCAACUCUCCACACUUUUCUGUUGCCUAUGGAGGGUCUCCGGGAUGUCAGCCUGGACACUGUUCUUAGCAGCUUCCAUCUCUGCAACUUUAGCAUCUUUUCUGUAUACCAUUCACUUGAAUGGAAGGAGGGCAGCCUACUGUCAGGGGAAGCAGCAGUACCAGCAGUGAUGCAGGAUGUGGCACUGAAUGUUUGUCCUAUCCUGGCUCUUGGUGCUGGAGGACCAGCUGCCUCCUCAACAGACCUCAGGGCAUCCACAUGUGUGCAUGGUAGGACAGAGGCCUAACUUGUUAGAUGUGUUGCUCACGCACAACGUGCGCAACGUCAGGGAUGGCAGCAGCAGCAGCACCUGCCUGCUUGUGGUCCACUGCCCCUUCCUACACUCAUGUAGUCAGUCUCUCACUAGACAGGCCCAUCUGUGUGGCAACAUCCUGAAGAAAGCUGAGGCUAAGUUUCGAGUUGCACCGGUUGAGACAGGCUGAGAGAGCAACUGCAAGAAGAGAGAGGGUGGAAUAGACAAGUCCUGCCAGCAGCAGAGGGAAAGGGAAUAGUGAGACAGUGGAUGAGGAAGGGAAAAGCAGUGGAGAGGAGAUGAGGAGAAGAGUCUUAGCUCAGGAGUGGUUCACCAGCAACUUCAGGGGGAGAGAGAUGAAAAGAUCAAGUGAAGGAAUGGUAACCUUGAUCAGAGGGACAUUCAGCCUACCUGCCUGGUACCUAGGAGGGAGCUGCCAGCAGUCAAGGGAUCUUUGCUAUAUCAUAUAUCACUAUGGUACAGGGACUUCUGUGACCAGAAGGAAGGCUGGCUUCAUCUACACAGUGAAGAUAGUUUCACAUUCCAGGGCCUGAACUAAGUGCAGGUAUCAGUGGUCACAGCUACCAUUCAAAAAAUAAAGAUAUAUUUCAAUGUUAGAUAGCAUCUUACAAGCAAUAAUUAAACUUUUACAACACCCAUGUGAGGUAAGUGAAUAAUUAUCACUCCUAUUUUAAAGCUAUGAAAGGAGAGAGGGUAAGUGGUUUGCCGAAGGCCACGCAAUGAGUCAGUGGCAGUGCUUCCAUUAGCAGGCAUCAGCUCCUGCUUCCGAGGCCUGUCCAUGAGCCACAGCAGCAUUGCAGUCUCCCCAUCGAGAGAUGAAAGCAAGCUGAUUUCUCAAGCACUUUGAUGAGAGAAGGAAGGUUAGAAAUAGCCCACGGCUGUUUCUGGAGAAAGAGUCAGGACAGAAGGAGAAUUUCUAAAGAGGAGAGUGGAAAAGUGCCAGGCUCAGGAAAGGGAAUGGUGAUAAAGUAACUAUUGAUAUGUGUGGUUAUGAAGGGAAUAAAGCUGGCAAACCAGAACCAAAUGACAGGGAAGAAAAAAUAGGUCAGUGGUGAAGAUAGAUUUGUCAGAGAGCUUUGUGGCAUUUGAGAGGCCUAGGGGAGAGGUGGGAAGGGAAUGAGAGGGGAAAGAGAGAUGGGGAGAAAUUCCAGUGAACGCAUACAGCAGCAUUUAAAAACUGCUGCACUUGGAGGCAGGGAAAUAAAAGCCACUGAGCAUGAGGCCUUUCAGUGCCUGCCCAAUUACAAUCGUGCUAUUGAGUCUCACUCAGCAGCUGUGGAUCCUGGAAUGGUCUGCCAGGCUAGGUAAGUGUUGGCACCAUCAUCUCGCUUACAGGAGUACCAAGGCUCUGAGCAGUGUAGAAACUUACCUGUGGUUGUUCAGCAAGGCAAAAAUUAUUACAAUAAGUGGAAUGUGAAAUAGAAAGACAGAUAGGGACACACAGUUCUCAGUGGCAUAGGAGAGAACAAGAAAAAUGAUGACUGAUGUCAGCAGCCCAAAUCUAUUUUUCCUAGCUCUAGAAUACAUCAUGCUGAGUAAAAUGGCAGGUAGAGGCCAGGAGAUACGGAUCUUUUAUGUUUUAAACUACAAGCUAAGAAAUACUGGCAGGCAGAUACGUUAAUAUAUGCACAUGCAUGCAAAUGCACGUGGACACAACACAAUUAGCCUGACACUGGAUUUGGUAUUGUACAUGUCCUUAGAUUAGUUAUUUCUGCAGUUUCUCAACUUUCCUCCUUUUAGCAAAACUAAGAUAAUGACUCUUACCUACAAAACAGAGACUCACUUAUAACCUAGAAGUAUUUGCAGUGCUAAGUGUGCUUAACUUGAAGCUGCAAAUGAGCACCCAUUUUGCUUUUUUGGUUGUCUUGUGCCACGGAACACAAGCCACAUGUCUGACAGUUGGUGGCUGCUACACCAGAAUGAGCAUCACCUGAAAAAGUAAAACCUCAGAAAAUAGCUGCCAUCAUUACUAGUAGACUCUGAAAGAUUGUCAGAAAGAGUAGUGUUUUCAAGGCCUAAGAAAGUGAGGUGCUUGAGAACAAAAGUUCCUCUUCAUUUCAAAAGCCACCCUUCCUAAACUCUGCUUCCUCCUUUCCCUGGCAAAAAAAUGAAGCUACAGCUACUUUUACCUUAGUUUGUGGAAGGCAGAGAAGCAUCUUGCAGUUUAAAGUAAGAGGAGGAAACCAAUUCAACAAAUCUGUCGAGUGAGUCAGGAAAGAGCAGUGUAUAAAAUAAAGCUUAUUUUUAGUAACACUCCUUUGGUUUUAAAAGUUAUUCCAACUUCACCUCUUCCUUUUUUUCAGCUUCACAGGCAGAUCAGAGCUCCUUCUGCCACCUCUCCUUCCACCUGGCGCAGAGGGCCAUGGUACUUCAGCUGUGCAGUGCUACCACCCUCUGGCCACUUCAAUUCCACAGUCCUCAAUCUGCAGGAGACUCUGAACUUAGUCGUAUGCCUCCUACAUCUACUCUGUAAGAUAAAUUUCACCCUUCAGGGUACCUAGUGUGUGAGAGAGUGAUUUGCACCUUCUGAUGCAGCUCUAUACAAUGCUUGUUUUGACUGAUUCAUUUUGUAAAGGGAUUUCAUCUGGGUGAAGGAAGUAGUUAGACUUAGCCAAAUACAGUCAUCCACCACAUACGGCACUGGGGUUUUUCUAAAAGGCCACCAUCCAUGUUAGAUUGGUGACUGAUUCCUGCUUGGAGGAUAUAUUCGGUGGGAUGAGACGUUCCUGGAUCAUUUUGGGAUUUAAGUGCUGGAAUGGCAUUUCCUGUGGUACCUUGACCAAGAGAUUUUAUCUUUCAGCACCUCAGCCGCACAGCUGUAACACAGAUAUCAUGCACUUUUUUUGCACAUGGGUGUUGCCAGGAUGAACAUAUUAAUUAUUUUGAUCACAUGGGUGUGAGCUUAUAAAAAUUCCAAGUUAUGUAGCAGUCUGCCCAGAUCACUCUAUGCUGACGCUACCAACACACUGAGACUUCUGCAGAGAUAGUUUUCAGUGGUGGGGAGCUUCUGUCCACCAUAAACUGUGCUGAGGCCACUAGCUCAUUUCCCAGAGCACAGCAAGAAGAUAUAGGGUGGGAACGAUUGGAGGAGCAAAAAGUAAUUUGGAACCAAAACCUAAAGUACUUGGAGUAUAAGAGCUAUUUCACAUACAGCUACUACAAUAGAAGAAAAGGCUUAUUUUGCUGAAAUUGUCCCAACUUUUCAUAUUUUAUGUAAGAAACUGCACAAUAAUAAUAAGCACAGAGAUAAAAAUAGGCUCAGAAGCAAAACUGUGGCUUCAAAGUUGAAACACCAUGUUCUAGCAUUAUGCUUUUUUUGUGCCAAGCAAAUCAUAUCUUUUUAAACCUUUAUGGGACAAGAAAAUGUGAAGAACAUAGGUAAUAAAGUACUUUCUUGCAGAAUCUUGCCAUCUGUGUAGCUCUUUAGGGGUGAUGGAGGAUCACUCUAGCCAUAUCCUAUGUGAAGGAGCAAUGAAAGCAUUCAUUGUUCUUUAUAAUUUCCUUGUUACAGCCUCUCCUUACAGGUGAUAGGUUGGCACACUCUUUCCUAGAAGCACUGUGGAUUAGGAGAGCUAAGACUGUGUAGAGCUCACUCUGAGACUUCACCCAGACUUCUCACCGGAACUCUAAAAUCUGUUUGAAGAUGCUAUUAUGUUUUUGACAGGAGCAUAAAAGAGGGAGCCAAGAGGCAGCACGCUAGCAUGAACCUUCACAUGGUUUUGUAAAGAAGCUGGUUCAACAAGAUGUCAGAAAUGGACAUUUUAUCUGCCUUGACAAACCAUUCAAGUGUAUAUGUAGAUUUUUUUAUUUUUAUUUUUUGUCAGAGCAGUUCAUGCUAGAAGUGGAUUUUGGUUUUAAUUUUAUUGUUGUCAUUGUCUUCUCCUUGAUGCAGUAGUAUAAUGGUACAAUCUCUUGUAAGGACACGAUUGUUUCAGUGGAAAUUUAUCCAUAGUACGUGGCCUACUUUUUGCCUGACAGUGGCUAUAUUGGCCUUACAUACAUAGAAAGUUGCAAGACAAUGCUAAAAGGUUGAACUAGUGUCCCACUGAAAGAGUAGUUAAAGUCCCACAGUUGUUAUGUGUAGGCAAUCCCUGAGUGCCAGCAGUGCUCUUUCAUUUCUCAGGUUCAUAGUGGGAGGAGUGGUCAUAGUUCAAUUUUAUCUCAGAACAGAGUCUCAUUUUAUAGCAUUCAAUGUCUAUGGGAAAGGGACCUACUCUAUGUUCUCUGCCUUGAAUUCCUUAUCAAAAAUGAGUCUGAUCAAAACAGUUUAGUCUGUAAAUCUUAGUUUAGUCUGUAAAUAUCUGAACUGAAGAGCCUACGAUCUUUUUUCACUUUGGAAAAAGAAAAAAUAAGAACAACCUGAAGAGUCUGGUAGCAUCUCUACAUUUAUCAAAAAUAAAUAACCCUAUCUUUUCUUCUCAUCUUCUCUCAUGUCCGUAACCAAGUGCUUAUUUAUAUAAAAAACAAAAACAAACAAGAAAAAAAUGGAAAGAAUCAUAGAAUCAUAGAAUUACUCAGGCUGGGAAGGACCUCAAAGAUCAUCAAGUCCAACCGCCGCCUAACCAUAGUACCCUAACUCUAACAACCCUCCACUAAAUCCUAUCUCUGAGCACCACAUCCAAACAGCUCUUAAACACAUCCAGGGACGGUGACUCAACCACCUCCCUGGGGAGCCUAUUCCAAUGUUUAACCACUCUUUCUGUAAAGAAGUGUAUUCUAACGUCCAACCUAAACUUACCUUGGUGCAACUUGAGGCCAUUUCCCCUCGUCUUGUCACCUGUCACCAGUGAGAAGUCGCACUCACUGUAAGCAUCCUUCAGGUACUGGAAGAGAAUAAUAAGGUCUCCCCUCAGCCUCCUCUUCCCCAGACUAAACAGCCCCAGCUCCCUCAGCCUCUCCUCAUAGGGCUGAUUUUCCAAGCCCUUCACUAGCCUCGUUGCCCUUCUCUGGACCUGCUCCAGUACCUCCAUGUCCUUCUUGUACUGAGGUGCCCAAAACUGAACACAGUACUCGAGGUGAGGCCUCACCAAUGCCGAGUACAGGGGCAGGAUGACUUCCCUAGUCCUGCUCACCACACUAUUCCUGAUACAAGCCAGGAUGCCACCGGCCCCCCUGGCCACCUGGGCACACUGCUGGCUCACAUUCAGCUGACUGUCCAACAGUACGCCAAGGUCCCUUUCCAUCAGGCAGCUUUCCAGCCACUCUGCCCCAAGCCUGUAGGGUUGCCUGGGGUUGUUGUGACCAAAAUGCAGAACCCAACACUUGGCCCUAUUGAAACUCAUGCCAUUAACCUUGGCCCAUCAAUCCAGUCUAUCCAGGUCCCUCUGUAGUGUCCUUCUCCCCUCUGGCAGAUCAACACUCCCUCCCAGCUUGGUGUCGUCUGCAAACUUACUGAGGAUGCACUCAAUACCCUCAUCCAGGUCAUCAGUGAAGAUAUUAAACAGAAGCAGCCCCAGCACUGAGUCUUGGGGGAUACCGCUCGUGACCGGCCACUAACGGGAUUCAACUCCAUUGACCACGACAAUUUGGGCCUGGCCAUCCAUCCAGUGCUUCACCCAGCAGAGCGUACACCCAUCCAGACCAUGGGCAGCCAGCUUCUCCACAAGAAUGUUAUGGCGGACAGUGUGAAAGGCCUUACUGAAGUCCAGGUAGACCACAUUGACAGCGUGACCCUCCUCCACUAAGCGGGUCACCUUGUCAUAGAACGAAAUCAGGUUUGUCAGACAGGAUCUACCGUUUGCAAACCCAUGCUGACUGGGCCUGAUCCCCUGGUUGACCUUUACUUGGUCCAUGAUGGUUCCCAAGAUUAUUCGUUCCAUGACCUUCCCUGGUACCGAGGUGAGACUGAUAGGCCUGUAGCUACCAGGAUCACCUUUCUGGCCCUUUUUGAAGAUGGGCGUCACAUUUGCCAGUUUUCAAUCCACUGGGACAUGCCCAGUUAGCCAGGACUACCAAAAAAUAAUGGAGAGUGGCUUGGCAACCACAUCCGCCAACUCUCUCAGCACUCUAGGGUGCAGUCCAUCCGGCCCCAUGGACUUGUAAGCAUCCAGCUUUUGCAGCAGGUCCAAAACUAUGUCGUCAUGGAUCAUGAAGGGCUUAUUCUGUUCCCCAUCCCUAUCUACCAGCGCAGGGGGCUGUGUUCCCAGGGAGUAACAAGUCUUAUUAUUAAAGACUGAGGCAAAGAAAGCAUUAAGUACCUCAGCCUUAUCCCUAUCCUUGGUGACCAGGUUGCCUUCGGCAUCCAACAAGGGAUGGAGAUUCUCCCUAGACUUCCUCUUGCUGUUAAUGUGUUUAUAAAAGCAUUUACUGUUUUCCUUCACUUUAGUGGCCAAGCUCAAUUCUAGCUGUGCUUUGGCUUUUCUAAUUUUCUCCCUGCACAGCUUCACUACAUACCUGUAAUCCUCAUAAGUAGCUUGCCCACUCUUCCAGAGACCAUAAACUUUCCUUUUGUUCUUGAGAUCCAGCCAAAGGUCUCUGUUCAGCUAGCCCGGCCUCCUUGCCUGUCGGCUCAUCUUCCGUGACAUGGGGGUGGUCAGGUCCUGCACCUUUAAAACAGUUUCCUUAAAAUAUUCCCAGCCUUCCUGGGCUCCCAUGCUCUCCAAAAUUACCUCCCAAGGGACCCUCUCAACCAUGGUCCUAAAGAGGUUGAAGUCCGCCCUCCGGAAGUCCAAGGUGGCAGUUCUGCUGAAAGAAAGAAAACAACUACAUUUCUACUGUGUCUAAUAUUUUGCUAUGGAAAUGUGCUUCACAAAAUUAAAAACAACUUUCAAAUCUCUAGAUCUUGACACAUCAGAACUCAUCUUUCCCUUUUUCAUGUCCACCCACGAGAGAGGUACUGGCUACCUGCCGAAGGAAGAGAAGCCAUGGCAAAAUGACACACCUCGCAUCUUGCCUUUCAGUAACCAAAAUUCGCUUAUCACAGGCUGUAGAAAGGAGCAAAUUUUAAAGGUAUAGAAACUUCCUACAAAGAAUGUGCUUUACCUUUCAUUACUCUCUGGGCACCAACAGAAAAUAUGUGUCUUCAGUUGAUGAAAUUUGUGGUGAGCAAAGCUGUUGGCUUCACAACAUGGUUUGAUUCGGAGAUUCUGCAUCUUAAGCCAUUUUCUAGUGUUUGUCAUAUGACGCCCUAAAUAAUAAAAGAAAUAUUAUUAACAAAACACAAUGUAAUCAUCCAGUAAAGAUUAAGUUCAUAUGUAAAACUUCUGAUUAAAUAAGUUGCAGCUUAUUUUCCCAGCUGAUUUGGACUCCUUUGAAGAGAGAGACGUUAAGUUACAUUUAUCCUAUUUGAUGGAAAUGCCAACACCUAUUUGAUAUCAAGAUAAAGGAUUGGAUUCUCUUACUCUACGGCUUGAAAGCUGUCAUUAGCUGAGUGGAUAAAACCACGUUUAAGGCCAACCAGCCUUCUGCUCCACAGAUGGAUGUCUCUUCCAUCAUAAUCUACCCAAACAUCAGAGGUGAGGUGAGGAAGGCAUGUCCUAGACAUCCCACCUUGAUAUAACUUCCCACAGAUGAAUCUUCCACGACAAAGAGAAUCCUUUCUUAAGCUUCAUUACAAGCUGGAAAUCUUCCAGCAACUAACUUUUCAAUGGAAAUAACACUUUUUUUUUCCCCUCAGAAUCUUAUGUAGUUUCUGUGAUGCCUUUGUCUUCAAAGAUCCCAAAUCACCAGGCUAGCACCUGUUUAUUAAACACUGAAAUCUUCUAUCUGCUCACUAGCCAGCAUGUCUGACCAACACAGAAUAGAGGAAAGAGUAAGGAAAAUCGGUAUAUACUACAGUUUUAAAGCAUCAAAUCCAUAAUGAGAAAAGUGAGGAAAUUCACGAAUCCAGGCUCCCUCCCUGGAAACAGUUGUCACCACCACCAGCUGGUUCUAUUUCAAAUGCCUAAUUUGAUGCCAACUACCACAUUGUUGUACUAUUAAAAAAAAAAAAAAAAAGAAGAUUGAAAGGUUGCUUCCUACUUUGUUAGAGACAGAACUCAAAUAAUCUGAAACUCUGGAGGUCAGUGCUGUGAGUGUUUGAUGAGUGGCAAGACAUUGUUCCAGAAAUACUAUUUUUAUGGAUAUGCGUGUGUGCUAAGUGAAAAAAGAGUUUCACUUCUAUUGAAAAGAAAAAUUGGAAGCUGGCUUUUGUGAGAUAUUUAACUCUUCUACCAAUCAAAAAGAUGAAGAGGAGUGUGUGGGUGUGAAAAGCCCUGAACUCAAGAAUACUUAUUGACUUAAUUUAACUAAAAAUAUUUAGUUAUCUAAAUUGGAGGUGAAGAAUUUGGGAAUAUUUUUUAAGAAAAUAGGACUGUCAAAAUGAGCAUUAGUUGCACUUUUAUGAAACAAAUUUCAGCUUCUUCUAGAGGCUAAAUGGCUGGCACUAAGACCAAGAGUUUUAUUGGACUCCUAGGGUGAAAUACCAUUUAUCCACACAUCCAACUGCUACAACAAGCGAAUCUCUUUGGCAAUAUGGCAACACAAAACUAGUUUGUUUCAUAAUUUAGCAUUUUAAAACCGAGACUGUCUAUAAAUCCUCUGUUUAUAGGUGGUUCAGUGAUAGCAAAUGGAAAAGAAGCUACCUCAAGCUGCUUAUAAAAGAGUAGGUGACACAGAUCUGUGAAGCCUCUCUCAAGGUGUACAAGAGAUGAUUUUUCUAAGCACUAGGACUAAUAUGAAUUAAAUUAAUCUUUGGGAACAGGAUGACUUACAAGUGAAAAUGCCAUAAUCUUAUGUCAUUUGCUAGAGAAGGAAAAUUGAAACAGCUGAUCAGCUGAUCUAUUCAGGGCAUUUUAAUCUAAUUUGCACAGGAGUGGGUCUAAUUCAAUGGGCCUCCUUUAAUAAAUUUAAUGUUAUUAAUCAGUCAUUUAAAUCACAGUCCUUGCCUAUUUAUACUCCCCUCUGCCUCCCACAUGUACAUAAUAUUAGCUUUGCUGAGGCAAGGGCAAGAAGACUAAUGGGAAUAAAUGAGCAGGCAAGAGUCACAGGCAUAAUGGCCCAAGAGGUGAUGGCCUCCCAUAGCCACAUUUUCCAAUUUCUUGAGCCUGUGUUCAGUGAGGUCAUCCUCCUGGCCACUUGAUGGGACAGGAGCCGAGUCCCUCCACAGCGGGUCACUUGGGAAGGGAAGAGUUGUCAGGGGAGGUGUCUUAUCCUGCCCCCCAUGUGCAGCAUAACUAAUCUGCGCAACUUCCAGAGCCCACAGACCAUGCAUGGAAGGUCAGCAGGUCCGUGGCCACCAGCUCACAGCUGGGGAAAAAAAAAAAGCAGGAAACCAUCAGCCCUUAGACUCCAAAGGCUGAAGAGGGGCAGAUAAAACAGGGUCAUUAACUCUCACCUCACGAGACUUGGCAGGUCUCUGUCCUUGAACCAGGUUAGAGUUCUGCAUUAAUUGCUAUUAUUGCCACAGCAGUAUCUUUGGUGUUUACCAAGGCCCUAAUUGGAUUACAUCACAAUGGAUGCACACAUGCCCUGAUUCUAUGGAUAAGAUGAUUAAGAGAUUGAUCAGGCAUGUGCAUGUUUCAUGUUCCUGCAGUGCUUCUGCUGAAACACGCCUAUCUGUGGGAGGACAUCAUUGGCCUCUUUACAUCUUGUGGAAAGCACAAGCCUUUGAUUUGAGCUCCAGGAGCUGAAGCAAUGCUGGUGUAGAAUGUGCAGUUAUGUGGCAUGAUGAGGAUAGACAAAUCCAUGUGUCUGACAAAUCUGUUUUCUUUCUUAAAUACUGUUUUCUUUCUUAAAUACUGUUUUCUGGAUGCAGUGGGUCACCGUGGGUGAAGUUCCCAGCUGGGCAACUGGCAUCCAAAUUGCGCUGGAUGAUUGAUAAAAGAAAUAGGAAUGGCUCCUCAGCCCUUUCAAGAAGCAACGUGGUUCUGCAGUGCCAUCCUUACUUUCCAGCAUCUCUGAGAACACAAACCUUGGAUUUUGGUACGUCACCAGGGGAAUUUGCACAUGAGAGUUCACCUUUCUGUAACAGCUGUUACAACAAAACAUAGAAGAAAAUAAUGGAAAAGCAGCUGAGUACUUCCUGUGGAAAAAGAGAGUAUGGGAACUUAUUGCCUUGGAGAAAUGGUUUGUAUUGUCUAUUAAUUUACCACCCUCAGAACCCACAUAAGCUAUAAUACAACCAGGUCACAUGAAUUGAAAGGUGAACGUGUUUAUGUGGAUCUGACAGGUGUUAAUGGUGGCUUCCAACAGGAAAAGAAAUGCAGGAGGAGAAUUUGCCCAUUAAACAAGUCCAACAGCAUUACUGCUUUGUACCAGUAUUACUUUCUGUAUCCAGGUGUUGCGAAAGUAAACGUCCUGCUACCUUUAUUUAGGAGAAGAUCCUCACAAAUGUAAUAAUCUUUUAAGGCCCAAUUUUAUCAUGCACUGUGCUUCUAUCUGGGUAUCCAAUGUAAUGUUCAUAAUAAGAUUAGCAGAGUGUAAAUCUUUAUGCAAUUUAAAUAAAUAGUCUCUUGAGUGUCUGGCAUUAGGAAUACAUUGUUCUAUAUUCCCCUACAGGCACUGAUGUUGUGUGCUGCAAUUGAGAUGUAUUUGUCUGUACCAUAUUACAAAGCAUUUGAUUUAAUUUUAAAUGGAACUGUCCCAUCUCUUCUUUGAUUUGACUAUCAUGUAAUUUGGUUAAUUAAAAUUCAUUGGGUAUUUCUUUCCAUUUGCCACAAAAAUGCUGAAGUGUGUAAUAUGGUAUAUCAAAAGUAGCUAUGUGGAAUGUCAUUGGCACAGUGCACGGAACAGCCCAAUACAGACACUAUUGUUGUAACAUCAAAUUUAUCCUAUGAAUCUCGUCUGUCCAGCUUAUAUAUAUAAUUCCACAUUCACUCAAUCUGAAUGGUUAUUUCCCAUAUUAAUAUCCUUAUUCGUUUGUUGUGAUACCUGGAUGUUUCCUAAACCUAUUGACUCAUUUAGUACUGAUCAGCUUUUAAUAUGGCCAAACAGAAUUAAACACAGGAAAACAAACAAACAAGCAAACAAAACCCAUACCAAAUUCAGAUGCCCCAUCCUUCCUCAAAUUUGUUGUAAUUCUGUUGUCUGCUUUACUGAUGGACACCAAGAAAAAAAAAAACACCAUUGCAAUCAAUAGAGCUGGGAGACCCAAACCAGUUGUUCACCUAUCUGGGUAGAUCAGUAACUGGAAGUUCAUCUCAUCUCACUGCAGAUAUCUGAAACAGGACAGAAGAACAGGCAAACUACAUUUUUCUCUUCACUGACUCCAGAAAGAGGUUAAAAAAUUAACCAGUGUCAUGUAAAUUCAUGUUCCAAGCUGUCCUGUUUGUGUUGAGCAGUCCUUGUGUAUUUGCCUUCACUCUGCAUUACUGUGUGUGAGAUGGACCUCUGUUCCAAGGCUGAAAAUACAGCCAGCAGAGGUAAAUAAUCUGUCUGGUCACUCCUGAAGUGUCAACAGUUCUAGGAUCAUGACAUCUGUUGUAAUAAGGCCAGUGGCUCAGCACAGAAGGAUUUAUAUCACUGUAAAACUGGAGUAAACUCUCCAGUCAUCCACCCCAAUGCAUUUCACAGGAUGUAUAGAUAAUAUACUUGAUAAUUCCUGCACCAAGAUUCAACAGUUUGAGGCUCAAAAAGAUUGACCUCAAAAGAAAAUGCAUAUCCUUUCUUGGUUCAAAGCUCCUCCAGCAUCACUUAACUCUUCCAUAUCCUCGGUGGUAGUUUCCUAUGGCUUGUUGCCCCACAUCAGAAACCAUAAGAGUAUCAUCCUGGUUCCCAGUAAUAUUCUGCUGGUAAAUAAAAAGUUUUCUGUUUGCUUGUUUUUCAAGAAUGUGCUGUUAAUCUUUUAAUUACUACAAGGGAACAAAAGCUGCAAAGGCAUCUCAUGUUACAGGACAUAGUUUUUGCUAAAGCACUGCCAUGAUGAAUUCAACAGUGUUAACUUUUCCUGUGAUCAAUCACAAUAACACCUGAUCAGUGAUAAAGACUUCGCUCCUCAUGCAGACGCUUAUUUUAAAGCAGUCAUCUCUACAGCACCACCAGCAAAAUUUACUUCAUGGUUGGCAUUGCUUCACCAAACCACCAUCUGUGACAAACCUGCCCUUCCCUGUCUCCUGCUCCCUGCUGAAAGUGCUCGUAAUUCACUGCUUCAUAACUUACUGCCUGAGAAGGAGCCAGGCAAGGCAAUGAAGCAAAGCCUGUGGCCAGGAGAGAGGGGAGGAGGAAGACAACUGCCUUACUGAAAGGCCAGGCCUACCUGGAUGAUUAGGCCUCCAGCAUGCAGUCUGGUGAGAGAUGGCACUUCCCUUCCUCCUCACGUGAGCAGGGCAGGUAAGAGGCUUCACCAUGUGGAUCAGUACGGAGUUGGUCUGUCGCCAGGUGACCUGGUCUAGGGACAUGCCACCCAGGAUGUGGCCCAGGUGGCUGCUAUCUGCCCCUCCCCAGCCCCAUUCACCUGCCUUUCUCACACUUAAAAAACAAAACAAACAAAAAAUGCUCUUACUUUCUUGUUAGGAUGAGCGUUUCCAUGCCUCUACCCACAGCUGUUAUUUUAACUACUUUUAAAGGAAUAACUGAGUUUCUUAGGUAAUUUCUGGGCUCUGUAACCCGAGGCUUUAAGAAAAAUAAAAAAGCCCAUGGCAACUGAUUGACAACAGAUCCUCAGCUACUUUUACAACAUCAGGGAAGUAUAACAAAAGCAUUAGAGGAGCUUUUUGGUUUUCUGACUCUUCGUCUAAACCCAUAGCAAGUUCUCUGGAACCAUGCUGCAAAGGCUGAGCCCUUGAAGCAAAGAAAUUUCAAUUCCCCUGCAAAAACCCAGGGGUUUGUAGGCUCCAGCUGAACAGCCAGGGCUGGUACAAGUGCCAAUGAAGGGAACAGUCUGGAAGGCAAACUUACAGGUACCUGUGCCCAAACACAAUCGGAUAGCCAGGACUGGGAAUCUUGUCUGCAGGUGGUUCCUCCUCAGCUGGAAAAGGCAGAUGCUAAGGAGACUUUGCUAAUUUCCCCUGCCUGGAAACUUGUAAUGAGCUCAGAGCAGGAGAAUAGCAAAAGGGCACAUCUGUUAGUUUCUCCUAAGCUGGAGAGGGCUUAGAGCCAAGAAAGAUGUCUAGGGGCUAAUUUGCUGGCCUAUCUAAAGCACAGGAGAAAGUCUGAGUCUGGGAGAAAGCUCCAUGCAUUCUGCCUGAGAGAAGGAAAGCUGGUGAGUGUCACGAGGAGUUUAGGGCCGGUACAGGUUAUGAGACAGGAUUUUUUUCAUUUACGUUCAAUUAAAACUCUAGUCAUUCAUGUUAUACACAUCCAGUGGAUACAAUCUGCUCUUUCUCAGCAAGGUUAAUUAGCCAGUGAAUUCAGGCUGUGUCUGGUACUCUUGGGUAAUAUAUAUAUCGGUAAAUGCAGUGUCCCUGAGGCUGCUCUUUGGUCCUGCUACAAAUAACAUGAGGCAGCUAAUAACUACAUGCCCAUCCAAGUGAUGAACAAAUUGAAAGGAAAGUUGUGGGAAAGAUAAGAAAACAAAUGUGGAUUCCAAUUUCAUGCCACUACUUCAAUCUAUCCUACACUACGUGGACUUGGUGACCUCCCUCGUACCUGAAAUCUUGUGCCUUUU